GUGAGGAAUAUUGGUCAAUGGGCGAGAGCCUGAACCAGCCAAGUCGCGUGAAGGAUGAAGGUUUUAUGAAUUGUAAACUUCUUUUGCAGGGGAAUAAAGUACGGUACGUGUACCGUUUUGUAUGUACUCUGCGAAUAAGGAUCGGCUAACUUCGUGCCAGCAGCCGCGGUAAUACGGAGGAUCCAAGCGUUAUCCGGAUUUAUUGGGUUUAAAGGGUGCGCAGGCGGGUUGAUAAGUCAGCGGUGAAAGUUUGCAGCUUAACUGUAAAAUUGCCGUUGAAACUGUCGAUCUUGAGUGCAAAUGAGGUAAGCGGAAUGUGUUGUGUAGCGGUGAAAUGCUUAGAUAUAACACAGAACACCGAUUGCGAAGGCAGCUUACUGGGAUGCAACUGACGCUCAUGCACGAAAGCGUGGGGAUCAAACAGGAUUAGAUACCCUAGUAGUCC
rnacentral:rRNA from 1 species